UUAUUGUAUUCGUUCUGGUGAGUAUAAUCAUUCCCUUCAGGCUUUUUGCUGUAAACACUGUCUUUUCAGAGAAAAUGCAGUGUUUACAUUACAGCCUAGUGAUACCUCCACUGGCCACUCCUCAGAUGGCUGCUAGAGGUGCUUCCUGGGGCAGUGCUGCACAGUGUGACUGCCAUUCAGUGUCUCCUCCCUCUGCAUGCAGACACUGAACUUUCCUCAUAGAGAUGCACUGAUUCAAUGUGUCUCUAUGAGGAGGUGCUGAUUGG